GGAGGCGCGGUAGGAGGGGAAUGAGAGGGAGGAGAGGAGGAAGGGGGGAGGAGGCAGGCAAGCGCCCGCGGUGAGGAACUGCGCCCUCUGGUGGUCAUUCUGAGAAGCUGCGGACAAGGUGGACUUGGUGCCCAGCGUGGGGCGGGCUCAGGCUCGGGAGAAGCAUGGCAAGGGCCCGAGCUAUAAGGUGGAUCACCCACCGAGGUGGCUAAAGGCUCUAAUCCUGCUGCCUUUGGCUGGAGGAGAGUUAAGUCUGUCCCUCUCCAGGACUUGUCAGGAUGGAGAAUUCUGAGCUUUGCUCGGACUCCAUCAGCGGUUGAGCCCCCGUCCGUGGUCAGGCAAGCUUUGGAGUGUGUCCAAUGAGAAGGAGUUAUUAUCUCAUUUGACGGAGGAGGAAACAAACUCAGAGCCAUGACCAAUCAUCUGUGCUCUUCUCUCUGUGCCUAACAUUGUCAUCUCCCAUGUGCACCACUGGCCCACCUUUGAGAAAGAAUUCAAACUCCACUUCCUGGCCAGGCUGGUCUCGAAAUCCUGACCUCAAACCCCACUUUCUUCAUGAGGCUUGCUAUGACCCCACCACACCCACCAGGCCAGACCACCAUCACCUCUCACUGGACCCUGCUACGACCACCUCCCUGAUCUUUCUGCCCUUGGGCUCGCUCCAUGCAGCCCCUUCUCCACACAGCAGCAGCCAGAGGCAGUUUCUGGAGCCCACAGCUGAAUGCGUUGUUCUCCUUGCUCAGGCAGAGAAGAGGACAGAUGGGGUUUUGGUCUCCUGUGUGUAGCCAGAGGGACUGCCUUGCCCUUCACCAUCUCCAGUAGUUCCUGAGACCACAGCUGCUGAUGGCAAAUGCCCCCAGUCCCAGCCAUGCCCCAGCCCCCUGCAUUGAGAGACCCAGCUCCACCCAGAGGGCAGCUGCAGCCUCCUUCAUCCACAGCCACUGCUGUGACCAAGAGGGACCUUGUCCUGGAAGGCCAGUGGAGCCCUUCUGAGGCCUUCACAGGCCCAAUGUCCACCCUGGUCGUGACACGUAUAAUAACACAGCUCUUGCAUUAAAUACUAUUUACUGCAGCAGAAGUUUUUUUUUUUUUUUAAGUUUGUUAUAAUUUUGAAUUUUGUGAAGAGUGAAUUAUUCAUUUUGUUUUUUAACUUGAAUUUAUUCAUUAUACCUAAGUAAGAAUUGAUCUGGGCUAUGCUUGGCUAGUUGGUGUAAUACCACAUCUGUAGACAUUUAAUUAAACAUGUAUUAAUUUUAA